GAACGCUGGCGGCGUGCUUAACACAUGCAAGUCGAACGAGAACGGAUUAUAGCUUGCUAUAAUUGUCAGCUAAGUGGCGCACGGGUGAGUAAUGUAUAGAUAACCUGCCCUCAAGAAAGGAAUAACAGUUGGAAACGACUGCUAAUGCCCUAUAUGCCUUUAAUACAUAAGUAUGCAAGGGAAACGCUUUAGUGCUUGAGGAUGGGUCUGUAUGGUAUCAGUUAGUUGGUGGGGUAAUGGCCUACCAAGACAAUGACGCCUAACUGGUUUGAGAGGAUGAUCAGCCACACUGGGACUGAGACACGGCCCAGACUCCUACGGGAGGCAGCAGUGGGGAAUAUUGGACAAUGGGCGAAAGCCUGAUCCAGCAAUGCCGCGUGAGUGAUGAAGGCCUUAGGGUUGUAAAGCUCUUUUACCCGAGAUGAUAAUGACAGUAUCGGGAGAAUAAGCUCCGGCUAACUCCGUG
rnacentral:rRNA from 1 species